rnacentral:rRNA from 1 species
UACAGAGGGUGCAAGCGUUAAUCGGAGUUACUGGGCGUAAAGGGCGCGUAGGCGGAAAUUUAAGUCGGGUGUGAAAUCCCUGGGCUCAACCUAGGAACUGCACUCGAUACUGGGUUUCUCGAGUAUGGUAGAGGAAAGUGGAAUUCUCGGUGUAGUGGUAAAAUACGUAGAUAUCGAGAAGAACACCGGUGGCGAAGGCGGCUUUCUGGACCAAUACUGACGCUGAGGCGCGAAAGCGUGGGGAGCAAACAGG